AGUUCAUACUGUUAGGAGCUGUUCCAUUUCCUACUGAUGUCCCUCGCUUGAAGGCUCUAGGUGUUGCUGGAGUGGUCACGUUGAAUGAAUCAUAUGAGACUUUGGUCUCAACGUCAUUAUAUCUUGAUCAUGACAUCAAUCACUUGGUGAUUCCUACCAGAGACUAUUUUUUUGCACCAUCAGAUGGAGAUAUUGACCGAGCUAUAGAAUUCAUCCACAGUAAGUGUUUUUCACCCAGCUCUUAAGUAAGUAGUGAUGGUAAGAAUCUUUUCCCAGUGUUCAUAUAUCAUGGUUUCAAGUAUAUAUCUUACAUUGCCG
rnacentral:misc_RNA from 1 species